ACUCUAACAUGGGGGCACUUGCUGCAACAUGAUUGAAAUUAAGUGCUUCCAUGUUUGAGAGUGG
rnacentral:miRNA from 1 species